rnacentral:rRNA from 1 species
UCUGGUUGAUCCCGCCGGAGGUUACUGCUAUCGAGGUUCGACUAAGCCAUGCGAGUCGAAUGUAGCAAUACAUGGCGUACUGCUCAGUAACACGUGGAUAACCUACCCUUGAGACGGGGAUAAACCCGGGAAACUGGGUAUAAUACCCGAUAGAUCUCGACUGCUGGAAUGCAUCGAGCUUGAAAGCUCCGGCGCUCAAGGAUGGGUCUGCGGCCUAUCAGGUAGUAGUGGGUGUAGCGUACCUACUAGCCUACGACGGGUACGGGUUGUGAGAGCAAGAGCCCGGAGAUGGAUUCUGAGACACGAAUCCAGGCCCUACGGGGUGCAGCAGGCGCGAAAACUUUACAAUGCUGGAAACAGCGAUAAGGGGACCUCGAGUGCCAGGUUACAAAUCUGGCUGUCGUGAUGCCUAAAAAGCAUUGCAUAGCAAGGGCCGGGCAAGACCGGUGCCAGCCGCCGCGGUAACACCGGCGGCUCGAGUGGUAACCGUUAUUAUUGGGUCUAAAGGGUCUGUAGCCGGCCGGAUAAGUCUCUUGGGAAAUCUGGCAGCUUAACUGUCAGGCUUUCAGGAGAUACUGUCUGGCUCGAGGCCGGGAGAGGUGAGAGGUACUUCAGGGGUAGGGGUGAAAUCUUGUAAUCCUUGAAGGACCACCAGUGGCGAAGGCGUCUCACCAGAACGGACCUGACGGC